UGCGUAGGCGGAUUAAUAAGUCAGUGGUGAAAUCUCUCGGCUCAACCUGGAAACUGCCAUUGAUACUGUUAAUCUUGAGUUCGGUUGAGGUAGGCGGAAUGUGUAAUGUAGCGGUGAAAUGCUUAGAUAUUACACAGAACACCAAUUGCGUAGGCAGCUUACUAGACCGACACUGACGCUGAGGCACGAAAGCGUGGGUAGCGAACAGGAUUAGAUACCCUGGUAGUCC
rnacentral:rRNA from 1 species